rnacentral:rRNA from 1 species
GAUGAACGCUGGCGGCGUGCCUAAUACAUGCAAGUCGAGCGAACGGACGAGAAGCUUGCUUCUCUGAUGUUAGCGGCGGACGGGUGAGUAACACGUGGAUAACCUACCUAUAAGACUGGGAUAACUUCGGGAAACCGCAGCUAAUACCGGAUAAUAUUUUGAACCGCAUGGUUCAAAAGUGAAAGACGGUCUUGCUGUCACUUAUAGAUGGAUCCGCGCUGCAUUAGCUAGUUGGUAAGGUAACGGCUUACCAAGGCAACGAUGCAUAGCCGACCUGAGAGGGUGAUCGGCCACACUGGAACUGAGACACGGUCCAGACUCCUACGGGAGGCAGCAGUAGGGAAUCUUCCGCAAUGGGCGAAAGCCUGACGGAGCAACGCCGCGUGAGUGAUGAAGGUCUUCGGAUCGUAAAACUCUGUUAUUAGGGAAGAACAUAUGUGUAAGUAACUGUGCACAUCUUGACGGUACCUAAUCAGAAAGCCACGGCUAACUACGUGCCAGCAGCCGCGGUAAUACGUAGGUGGCAAGCGUUAUCCGGAAUUAUUGGGCGUAAAGCGCGCGUAGGCGGUUUUUUAAGUCUGAUGUGAAAGCCCACGGCUCAACCGUGGAGGGUCAUUGGAAACUGGAAAACUUGAGUGCAGAAGAGGAAAGUGGAAUUCCAUGUGUAGCGGUGAAAUGCGCAGAGAUAUGGAGGAACACCAGUGGCGAAGGCGACUUUCUGGUCUGUAACUGACGCUGAUGUGCGAAAGCGUGGGGAUCAAACAGGAUUAGAUACCCUGGUAGUCCACGCCGUAAACGAUGAGUGCUAAGUGUUAGGGGGUUUCCGCCCCUUAGUGCUGCAGCUAACGCAUUAAGCACUCCGCCUGGGGAGUACGACCGCAAGGUUGAAACUCAAAGGAAUUGACGGGGACCCGCACAAGCGGUGGAGCAUGUGGUUUAAUUCGAAGCAACGCGAAGAACCUUACCAAAUCUUGACAUCCUUUGACAACUCUAGAGAUAGAGCUUUCCCCUUCGGGGGACAAAGUGACAGGUGGUGCAUGGUUGUCGUCAGCUCGUGUCGUGAGAUGUUGGGUUAAGUCCCGCAACGAGCGCAACCCUUAAGCUUAGUUGCCAUCAUUAAGCUGGGCACUCUAAGUUGACUGCCGGUGACAAACCGGAGGAAGGUGGGGAUGACGUCAAAUCAUCAUGCCCCUUAUGAUUUGGGCUACACACGUGCUACAAUGGACAAUACAAAGGGCAGCGAAACCGCGAGGUCAAGCAAAUCCCAUAAAGUUGUUCUCAGUUCGGAUUGUAGUCUGCAACUCGACUACAUGAAGCUGGAAUCGCUAGUAAUCGUAGAUCAGCAUGCUACGGUGAAUACGUUCCCGGGUCU